CGAACUCUGGUGGAGCUCAUUGCAGCGGCGUUGGAACCGCCUCUUCGAAACCUAACCAGAAACCAAAACCCUUUAACCCUAAACCCUAAAGCUAAAUCCCAAACCAUAAUUCUAAAAUCGAAACAACCCUAAGCAAAACCCUAAGGCUAAACCCUAAACACUGAACCCUAAAGCUAAACCCUAAAGCUAAAACCGAAAAGGUAAACUCUAAACCCUAAAAGCUAAACACUAUAUAUAUUUGAACAAGAUUCGACGAGACGGUUCCAACGCUACUGGAACGAGAUCAAUCGGAGUUUGUUUGACCCGGUUUCCUACACUUCCUAGGUUAAGAUUGUUUUGUAUUUGAUCCUUUCCCUGUGGUACCUCAAUGUUAGAAACUCACCACUGAUUUAAUAAGUUUGGACUUUGAUUCAUGAGCGACUUAUAUAACUUGCUAUCAACCCAAUUAGGUUAUAAUCUGCUUAAACAUUUUAAGACGGCCCAACACAUGAACACACAUCAAUCAAAUUGUCUAGAAAGAUCUUUGAUUUCUAGUUAUUCUGAAAGUUGCUUCUGUUUGAUUUUUUGAUCACAUAUAUUCUGUUUUUGUUUUCUUAAAUGUUGUUUCUGUUUUCAUUUCCUCUGUUUGAUUUCUGAAGUUCUUAUGAAACUUGUUUCGGUGUUCUUUAUAAUCUCUAUGUUUGUACUUGUUCGUUGUUCUCAUUGCUGUUUUAGAAACUGAAUAGUUCAAUGUAUACAGACAGAAACCGGUGCCAGAUUCAUAUAGGCAGCCCUGGUGAUUGGUAUUAUGUUUCAGAGCUACUUCCUUCACAAGGACUCAUGAGCUGACACAAAUGUAGUUAUCCUGCAUAACCUAAUCCUUUGCAGCUCACAACCCAGAAAUAGUCAGGGACCUGAAGACUGCAACUCACAGCCCAUCACUAGUCACGUGUGCUCUCAAUUUUCGGAUUUUUUACACAAGACCCGAAGACCACAUCUCACGUCUCAGCACUAAUUAGGUUUUUCUACAUGAGACUCUAAGACAGCAACUCACAGCGCAACACUAGUGAGGUAUGUUCCCAUUUAUUAUUUCAUUUUUAGUUACUAACCAACUUCCUUUCAAAAAUUCUGUUUUUUCUACACGAGACCAUGGUU